rnacentral:lncRNA from 1 species
UGGUGAAGUAAAAUAAAAUAAAAAUAUUGGUGAUAGUAAAUGCAUAAUAAUUAUAUAUAGAGAGGAAAAGUUCAAAUGAUUGUCUUACUUCCAAUCUAGUAGGAUCCAAUUGUUAGUACUUCCCUCUUACCUUACAGAUUCAGAUCAUAAACAUGUCUAAGAUUACAAAUGCAUAAUUUUCAAUCCAACUUACAGUGGAAUACUCAAUUACUCAUGCUCUAUAAAUCAAUUUUCUACACAAAACUGUUGUCUAAAAAUCAAACAGUAAGGCCUUGUGGCUCACCAGCCACAGGUGCCCUAGGCUUAGGCUUUUCCACCACAAUGGCCUGAGUGGUCAAGACCAUUCCAGCAACUGAAGCAGCAUUCUGCAAAGCACACCUUGUUACCUUGGCAGGGUCAAU